rnacentral:rRNA from 1 species
UACGGAGGGUGCAAACGUUGCUCGGAAUCAUUAGGCGUAAAGCGCACGUAGGCGGCUCGUUAAGUCGGAUGUGAAAGCCCUCGGCUCAACCGAGGAAGUGCAUACGAAACUGGCGAGCUUGAAUAUGGAAGAGGGUCGCGGAAUUCCCGGUGUAGAGGUGAAAUUCGUAGAUAUCGGGAGGAACACCAGUGGCGAAGGCGGCGACCUGGGCCAAUAUUGACGCUGAGGUGCGAAAGCGUGGGGAGCAAACAGG